ACUGGCUGGUCGCUGCUCGCCCAAUUCCCACUGCUCACACAGCUUCCUUGUGGAUCCAUUCAUCCCCAUGCAUCUCCGUAGUUGGAAUUGCAUCAUAGCCGGUAGUCGCUGCUACAUCCUAGCACUUAUUGUGCCCUCUGCUAUGCGAACCUACUGAGACUUAGCUAACAACGAGACGGGGAACUGCUGCUGUGUGACCGCUGCUGCUUUGUCUUCACGAAGCGUG